rnacentral:rRNA from 1 species
UACGAAGGGGGCUAGCGUUGCUCGGAAUCACUGGGCGUAAAGCGCACGUAGGCGGUUUGUCGCGUCGGGAGUGAAAUCCACUGGCUUAACUGGUGGCUUGCUUUCGAUACGGGCAGACUGGAGGUAUGCAGGGGAGAACGGAAUUCCUGGUGUAGCGGUGAAAUGCGCAGAUAUCAGGAGGAACACCGGUGGCGAAGGCGGUUCUCUGGGACGGUACUGACGCUGAGACGCGAAAGCGUGGGGAGCGAACAGG